rnacentral:rRNA from 1 species
CCUACGGGUGGCAGCAGUGGGGAAUAUUGCACAAUGGGGGGAACCCUGAUGCAGCAACGCCGCGUGGGUGAAGAAGUACUCCGGUAUGUAAAGCCCUGUCAGCAGGGGAGAAAAUGACGGUACCUGACCACGAAGCCCCGGCUAACUACGUGCCAGCAGCCGCGGUAAUACGUAGGGGGCAAGCGUUAUCCGGAUUUACUGGGUGUAAGGGGGCUUAGACGGCAAGGCAAGUCUGGAGUGAAAGCGCGUGGCUCAAACCCCGGACUGCUCUUGAAACUGGACGGCUGGAGGUGAAGAGAGGGAAGUGGAAUUCGUAGUGUAGCGGUGAAAUGCGUAGAUAUUAGGAGGAACACCAGUGGCGAAGGCGGCUUACUGGACUGUAACUGACGUUGAGGCUCGAAAGCGUGGGGAGCGAACAGGAUUAGAUACCCCUGUAGUC